GACGAACGCUGGCGGCGUGCCUAAUACAUGCAAGUAGAACGCUGAAGAGAGGAGCUUGCUCUUCUUGGAUGAGUUGCGAACGGGUGAGUAACGCGUAGGUAACCUGCCUUGUAGCGGGGGAUAACUAUUGGAAACGAUAGCUAAUACCGCAUAACAAUGGAUGACACAUGUCAUUUAUUUGAAAGGGGCAAUUGCUCCACUACAAGAUGGACCUGCGUUGUAUUAGCUAGUAGGUGAGGUAAUGGCUCACCUAGGCGACGAUACAUAGCCGACCUGAGAGGGUGAUCGGCCACACUGGGACUGAGACACGGCCCAGACUCCUACGGGAGGCAGCAGGAGGGAAUCUUCGGCAAGGGGGGCAACCCUGACCGAGAAACGCCGCGUGAGGGAAGAAGGGUUUCGGAUCGUAAAGCUCGGUUGUAAGUCAAGAACGGGUGUGAGAGUGGAAAGUUCACACUGUGACGGUAGCUGACCAGAAAGGGACGGCUAACUACGUG
rnacentral:rRNA from 1 species